AAUUAUUAUAAACUGAAAAGAAAAAAAAAUUAAAUUAUAUUAUUUUACCUUUUGCAUAAUGGUUUAACAAACCUAAUACAAAUUUGUUUUCCCCGAAUUUAGAAGAUCUAAUUUUAAAAACUUCAUUUUUAAAGAAAAAUAAAUUAAUAAUGUUUCAAAAUUAUAAUUAUAGAAAAAAUUAGGGGUGAAAGGCUUAUCAAUUCUAAAGAUAUCUGGAAUAAUUUAAAAUGUAUUUAGUACAAAUAAAAUUUUGAAUAAAUAAAUGUUAAGAUUUUUUUAACAAAGAAUAUUAAUUAUAUUAUAAUUAAGGAUUAAUCUCCUAUUUAAAUUUAAUAUUAAAAAUUAAUAAUUAUUUAUAUCUUUAAUAUAAAAUUAUAUUUCGACCUACUAAAUUUAAAAUUAAUUAUGUUAAAAUUAGUAUAAAUUAUAUUAUUUAUUUAAAGAACUCGGCAAACUAUUAUUCAUCUGUUUAUCAAAAACAUAGUCUUAUGAAAAAAUAUAAGGUGCAACCUGCCCACUGUUAUAUAAAUGGCCGCAGUACUUUGACUGUGCUAAGGUAGCAUAAUAAAUUGACUCUUAAUUGGGGCCUUGAAUGAAAGGAAUUAUGGGUAAUUUCUGUUUCAAAUAAAUAAAUUUAAAAUUACUUAAAAGGUGAAAAUUCCUUUAAUAUAAUAAAAUAGACGAGAAGACCCUAGGAGUUAUAAUUUUUGUUGGGGCGACAAUAUAGCAUUUAACCUAUAUAUAAAAAUUAAAUACAACAAUAUAUAAUAAUAAUAAAAUAACUACCCUAGGGAUAACAGCAUAAUUUAUUUCUUAAGUUUGUGACCUCGAUG
rnacentral:rRNA from 1 species